GGGUUUGAUCCUGGCUCAGAACGAACGCUGGCGGCAUGCCUAACACAUGCAAGUCGAACGAUUGCCUUCGGGUGAUAGUGGCGCACGGGUGCGUAACGCGUGGGAAUCUGCCCUUAGGUUCGGAAUAACAGCUGGAAACGGCUGCUAAUACCGGAUGAUAUCGCGAGAUCAAAGAUUUAUCGCCUGAGGAUGAGCCCGCGUUGGAUUAGGUAGUUGGUGGGGUAAAGGCCUACCAAGCCGACGAUCCAUAGCUGGUCUGAGAGGAUGAUCAGCCACACUGGGACUGAGACACGGCCCAGACUCCUACGGGAGGCAGCAGUGGGGAAUAUUGGACAAUGGGCGCAAGCCUGAUCCAGCAAUGCCGCGUGAGUGAUGAAGGCCCUAGGGUUGUAAAGCUCUUUUACCCGGGAAGAUAAUGACUGUACCGGGAGAAUAAGCCCCGGCUAACUCCGUGCCAGCAGCCGCGGUAAUACGGAGGGGGCUAGCGUUGUUCGGAAUUACUGGGCGUAAAGCGCACGUAGGCGGCUUUGUAAGUCAGAGGUGAAAGCCUGGAGCUCAACUCCAGAACUGCCUUUGAGACUGCAUCGCUUGAAUCCAGNAGAGGUCAGUGGAAUUCCGAGUGUA
rnacentral:rRNA from 1 species